UCCCUCAGUAACGGCGAGUGAAGCGGGAACAGCUCAAAUUUGAAAUCUCCGUUGCUUGCAACGGCGAAUUGUAGUUUCGAGAAGCACUUUCUAGGCGGAUCGACCCUGUCUAAGUUGCUUGGAACAGCACGUCAUAGAGGGUGACAACCCCGUCCGUGACGAGGCCGGCCGCUCACGAUGUGUUUUCGAAGAGUCGGGUUGUUUGGGAAUGCAGCCCAAAAUGGGUGGUAAACUCCAUCUAAAGCUAAAUAUAGGCACGAGACCGAUAGCGAACAAGUACCGUGAGGGAAAGAUGAAAAGAACUUUGAAAAGAGAGUUAAAAAGUACGUGAAACCGUUGAAAGGGAAACGAAUGGAGUUAGCAAUGCACUCUGCAAGAUUCAGCCGGCGGGUGACUCGGAUGGGCGGUUGGCGGAUCUGAAUGGACCGCCGUCGUCCAGCUCGUGUUCCCUGCCGUCGCACUUCUUACGGGUGCGCGUCAACGUCGGUUCGGAUCCGGUCUUAAAGGUCCGCGGGAAGGUAGGUCGGACGCUUCGGUGCCCUUCUGUUACAGCCCACGUUUCUUAUGGCCGAGUCCGGACCGAGGCGUCGCAGCGCAUGCCUCUUUUGGCUAGGGUCCUUUGGCGCUUCCGGUUGUCGAUUGCGGUGGACUGCGUGCAGUGCACCCGAACCGCUGCCGGUCGUCGCGGAGGUGACUUCGUACAAUGCGCUCAGGACGUUGGCGGUCAUAUGGCUUCAUCCGACCCGUCUUGAAACACGGACCAAGGAGUCUAGCCUGUGCGCGAGUCUUAGGGUGAGCGAAACCCCGAGGCGCAAUGAAAGUGAAAGCGGCCUGGCCGCCGAGGUGAGAACCUCUCCUCCGGGGGAGGCGCAUCAUUGACCGAUCUAUUCU
rnacentral:rRNA from 1 species